UACGAAGGGGGCAAGCGUUACUCGGAAUUAUUGGGCGUAAAGAGUGCGUAGGCCGCUAUAAAAGUUAUAAGUAAAAUUUUUAAGCUCAACUUAAAAAAGCUUCUAAUACUUUAUAGCUAGAGUAGUAGGAGAGAUAGAAGAAUUUUUAGUGUAGGGGUGAAAUCCGUAGAUAUUAAAAAGAACACCGAUAGCGUAAGCAUCUGUCUAUCUACUAACUGACGCUGUUGCACGAAAGCGUGGGGAGCAAACAGG
rnacentral:rRNA from 1 species